UCUUCCAUGCCAUAUCAGGCCAUCAAACACUUUAAAACCUAUGCUAGGCUGAUAGAUGCUUUGAUGAGGUACCACAUGGGUCUUAAACCCAAUUAAGAAGGACUCUUCAAGCCUUUUGAUGCCAAAAGAAAAUUAUCGCCCACCAAAAAUCUGCGCCAUGAUAUGGUAGAGUCCUUUUCUAUUUGGACUCUCUCAUUUCAAUG
rnacentral:lncRNA from 1 species